GGGUUGUGAGGUUAAGCGACUAAGCGUACACGGUGGAUGCCCUGGCAGUCAGAGGCGAUGAAGGGCGUGCUAAUCUGCGAUAAGCGCCGGUAAGGUGAUAUGAACCGUUAUAACCGGCGAUACCCGAAUGGGGAAACCCAGUGUGACUCGUCACACUAUCAUUAACUGAAUCCAUAGGUUAAUGAGGCGAACCGGGGGAACUGAAACAUCUAAGUACCCCGAGGAAAAGAAAUCAACCGAGAUUCCCCCAGUAGCGGCGAGCGAACGGGGAGGAGCCCAGAGCCUGAAUCAGCAUGUGUGUUAGUGGAAGCGUCUGGAAAGGCGCGCGAUACAGGGUGACAGCCCCGUACACAAAAGCGCAUGUGCUGUGAGCUCGAUGAGUAGGGCGGGACACGUGGUAUCCUGUCUGAAUACGGGGGGACCAUCCUCCAAGGCUAAAUACUCCUGACUGACCGAUAGUGAACCAGUACCGUGAGGGAAAGGCGAAAAGAACCCCGGCGAGGGGAGUGAAAAAGAACCUGAAACCGUGUACGUACAAGCAGUGGGAGCACCCUUCGGGGUGUGACUGCGUACCUUUUGUAUAAUGGGUCAGCGACUUAUAUUCUGUAGCAAGGUUAACCGAAUAGGGGAGCCGGAGGGAAACCGAGUCUUAAUUGGGCGUUAAGUUGCAGGGUAUAGACCCGAAACCCGGUGAUCUAGCCAUGGGCAGGUUGAAGGUUGGGUAACACUAACUGGAGGACCGAACCGACUAAUGUUGAAAAAUUAGCGGAUGACCUGUGGCUGGGGGUGAAAGGCCAAUCAAACCGGGAGAUAGCUGGUUCUCCCCGAAAGCUAUUUAGGUAGCGCCUCGUGAACUCAUCUCCGGGGGUAGAGCACUGUUUCGGCUAGGGGGCCAUCCCGGCUUACCAACCCGAUGCAAACUGCGAAUACCGGAGAAUGUUAUCACGGGAGACACACGGCGGGUGCUAACGUCCGUCGUGAAGAGGGAAACAACCCAGACCGCCAGCUAAGGUCCCAAAGUCAUGGUUAAGUGGGAAACGAUGUGGGAAGGCCCAGACAGCCAGGAUGUUGGCUUAGAAGCAGCCAUCAUUUAAAGAAAGCGUAAUAGCUCACUGGUCGAGUCGGCCUGCGCGGAAGAUGUAACGGGGCUAAACCAUGCACCGAAGCUGCGGCAGCGACACUGUGUGUUGUUGGGUAGGGGAGCGUUCUGUAAGCCUGUGAAGGUGGCCUGUGAGGGUUGCUGGAGGUAUCAGAAGUGCGAAUGCUGACAUAAGUAACGAUAAAGCGGGUGAAAAGCCCGCUCGCCGGAAGACCAAGGGUUCCUGUCCAACGUUAAUCGGGGCAGGGUGAGUCGACCCCUAAGGCGAGGCCGAAAGGCGUAGUCGAUGGGAAACGGGUUAAUAUUCCCGUACUUGGUGUUACUGCGAAGGGGGGACGGAGAAGGCUAUGUUGGCCGGGCGACGGUUGUCCCGGUUUAAGCGUGUAGGUGUGUGUUCCAGGUAAAUCCGGUUCACUUUAACACUGAGGCGUGACGACGAGGCACUACGGUGCUGAAGCAACAAAUGCCCUGCUUCCAGGAAAAGCCUCUAAGCAUCAGGUAACAUCAAAUCGUACCCCAAACCGACACAGGUGGUCAGGUAGAGAAUACCAAGGCGCUUGAGAGAACUCGGGUGAAGGAACUAGGCAAAAUGGUGCCGUAACUUCGGGAGAAGGCACGCUGACAUGUAGGUGAAGUGAUUUACUCAUGGAGCUGAAGUCAGUCGAAGAUACCAGCUGGCUGCAACUGUUUAUUAAAAACACAGCACUGUGCAAACACGAAAGUGGACGUAUACGGUGUGACGCCUGCCCGGUGCCGGAAGGUUAAUUGAUGGGGUCAGCGCAAGCGAAGCUCCUGAUCGAAGCCCCGGUAAACGGCGGCCGUAACUAUAACGGUCCUAAGGUAGCGAAAUUCCUUGUCGGGUAAGUUCCGACCUGCACGAAUGGCGUAAUGAUGGCCAGGCUGUCUCCACCCGAGACUCAGUGAAAUUGAACUCGCUGUGAAGAUGCAGUGUACCCGCGGCAAGACGGAAAGACCCCGUGAACCUUUACUAUAGCUUGACACUGAACAUUGAGCCUUGAUGUGUAGGAUAGGUGGGAGGCUUUGAAGUGUGGACGCCAGUCUGCAUGGAGCCGACCUUGAAAUACCACCCUUUAAUGUUUGAUGUUCUAACGUGGACCCGUAAUCCGGGUUGCGGACAGUGUCUGGUGGGUAGUUUGACUGGGGCGGUCUCCUCCUAAAGAGUAACGGAGGAGCACGAAGGUUGGCUAAUCCUGGUCGGACAUCAGGAGGUUAGUGCAAUGGCAUAAGCCAGCUUGACUGCGAGCGUGACGGCGCGAGCAGGUGCGAAAGCAGGUCAUAGUGAUCCGGUGGUUCUGAAUGGAAGGGCCAUCGCUCAACGGAUAAAAGGUACUCCGGGGAUAACAGGCUGAUACCGCCCAAGAGUUCAUAUCGACGGCGGUGUUUGGCACCUCGAUGUCGGCUCAUCACAUCCUGGGGCUGAAGUAGGUCCCAAGGGUAUGGCUGUUCGCCAUUUAAAGUGGUACGCGAGCUGGGUUUAGAACGUCGUGAGACAGUUCGGUCCCUAUCUGCCGUGGGCGCUGGAGAACUGAGGGGGGCUGCUCCUAGUACGAGAGGACCGGAGUGGACGCAUCACUGGUGUUCGGGUUGUCAUGCCAAUGGCACUGCCCGGUAGCUAAAUGCGGAAGAGAUAAGUGCUGAAAGCAUCUAAGCACGAAACUUGCCCCGAGAUGAGUUCUCCCUGAGACUUAGAGUCUCCUGAAGGAACGUUGAAGACGACGACGUUGAUAGGCCGGGUGUGUAAGCGCAGCGAUGCGUUGAGCUAACCGGUACUAAUGAACCGUGAGGCUUAACCUUACAACGCCGAAG
rnacentral:rRNA from 1 species